GACGAACGCUGGCGGCGUGCCUAAUACAUGCAAGUAGGACGCAGUUGCGAACGUGUGAGUAACGCGUAGGUAACUGACUGUUAGAGAGGGAUGACUAUUGUAACCGAUAGCGAAUACCGCAUACUAGUAGAUGGACCUGCGUUGUAUUAGCUAGGAGGUAGGGUAAAGGCCUACCUAGGCGGCGAUACAUAGCCGAGCUGGGAGGGUGAACGGCCACAAUGGGACUGAGACACGGCCCAGACUCCGACGGGAGGGAGCAGUAGGGAAUCAUCGGCAAUGGGGGGAAACCUGACCGAGGAACGCCGCGUGAGUGAAGAAGGUUUUCGGAUCGUAAAGCUCUGUUGUUAGGGAAGCGGUACUUAACCAGAAAGGGACGGCUAACUACGUGCCAGCAGCCGCGGUAAUUC
rnacentral:rRNA from 1 species